AACGAACGCUGGCGGCAGGCCUAACACAUGCAAGUCGAACGCCCUAGCAAUAGGGAGUGGCAGACGGGUGAGUAACGCGUGGGAACCUUCCCUAUAGUACGGAAUAGCCCAGGGAAACUUGGAGUAAUACCGUAUACGCCCGAAAGGGGAAAGAUUUAUCGCUAUAGGAUGGGCCCGCGUAGGAUUAGCUAGUUGGUGAGGUAAUGGCUCACCAAGGCGACGAUCCUUAGCUGGUCUGAGAGGAUGAUCAGCCACACUGGGACUGAGACACGGCCCAGACUCCUACGGGAGGCAGCAGUGGGGAAUAUUGGACAAUGGGCGCAAGCCUGAUCCAGCCAUGCCGCGUGAGUGACGAAGGCCUUAGGGUUGUAAAGCUCUUUUGGCGGGGACGAUAAUGACGGUACCCGCAGAAUAAGCCCGGCCUAACUUCGUG
rnacentral:rRNA from 1 species